rnacentral:rRNA from 1 species
AUUGAACGCUGGCGGCAGGCCUAACACAUGCAAGUCGAACGAGUGGCGGACGGGUGAGUAAUGUCUGGGAAACUGCCCGAUGGAGGGGGAUAACUACUGGAAACGGUAGCUAAUACCGCCUAACAUGGGCUGUGCCCCGCUGGGAUUAGCCAUGUGGUGGGGUAACGGCUCACCUAGGCGACGAUCCGUAUCUGGUCUGAGAGGAUGACCGGCCACACGGGAACUGAGACACGUUCCAGACUCCUACGGGAGGCAGCAGUGGGGAAUAUUGCACAAGGGGCGAAAGCCUGAUGCAGCCAGGCGGCGUGUAUGAAGAAGGCCUUCGGGUUGUAAAGCACUUUCAGCGAGGAGGCGUUACUCGCAGAAUAAGCACCGGCUAACUCCGUGCCAGCAGCCGCGGUAAUUC